rnacentral:rRNA from 1 species
AGUGAAUAAUUCAACGGCCGCGGUACCCUAACCGUGCAAAGGUAGCAUAAUCACUUGUCUAUUAAUUGUAGACCAGCAUGAACGGCAAAAUGAAGGCCUAACUGUCUCUUAUAGUAAAUCAAUUAAACUGAUCUUCUAGUAAAAAAGCUAGAAUAACCACAUAAGACCAGAAGACCCUGUGAAGCUUAAACUACACUAUUAAACCCAAUAAUAGCUACUUUUGGUUGGGGCGACCUUGGAAAAAAAAAGAACUUCCAAACAACAACUAUAAACUACACACCGGCCUACAAGCCCACACCGACCCAGUAAAACUGACAAUCGAACCAAGUUACUCCAGGGAUAACAGCGCCAUCUUCUUUAAGAGUCCAUAUCAAAAAGAAGGUUUACGACCUCGAUGUUGGAUCAGGACAUCCUAA